GAUCCUAAAACUGGGCUGGAGAAGGACACGGUGAAGUCUUAUGCUCGUAUUCUUCUAGGGAUUCAUGAGCCUGGUGAGGUGAAGUUAGAGGCAAACUUCAAGGUUCCAGAUGGAUUUGGUGAGGUUGGAGCCGUCCUGAUAGAGAACGAACAUAACAAGGAAAUCUUCAUUGAAAGCAUUGUUCUUGAAGGCUUUCUCAAUGGUCCUGUCACUGUUUCGUGCAAUUCUUGGGCUCAUUCUAAACACGAUAACCCCAAGAAGAGAAUUUUCUUCACCAAUAAGUCAUACUUACCUGCUGAAACACCAGACGGAUUGAAGAGGCUAAGAGAGGAGGAAUUGGAAAAUCUAAGAGGAAAUGGACAAGGAGAGAGAAAGUCUUUUGAGAGGAUCUAUGACUAUGAUGUAUACAAUGACCUUGGAGAUCCGGAUUCCAGCGAAGACCUUGCAAGACCUGUUCUUGGUGGCAAAGAGCAUCCUUUUCGGUUCUAGGACGUCCAGUUCUACAACGCCUAGGGUCCCAUUGACAGAAUCAAGAAGCAGCGAUUUUUAUGUACCAAGAGAUGAGGCAUUUGCAGAGUUGAAACAAGCAUCAUUUGGUAUAAAUACAGUAAAAUCUUUGUUACAUGCAUUGGUGCCUACCAUAGAGACUGCAAUUGUUGAUGACAAGCUUGGAUUCCCAUACUUCACUGCCAUAGACAAACUAUUUGAUGAAGGAAUUGAAUUGCCUAAAGAAGUUAAAAAACCUUGGUACCUUCAUACACUAUUACCAAGAACUGUGAAAGCUGUUAAGGAAACUGGAGAUGAAAUCUUGCUUUUUGAGACUCCUGAACUUUUUGAUAGAGAUAAAUUUUCUUGGUUUAGGGAUGAAGAAUUUUCACGUCAAACUCUUGCCGGUCUUAAUCCGUAUGGCAUAGAGCUAGUUACGGAAUGGCCUCUAACGAGCAAACUUGAUCCUAACGUCUAUGGUCCUCCUGAAUCAGCGAUCACAAAAGAAAUAAUCGAAAAAGAAAUCAGGGGCUUCAUGACUGUUGAAGAGGCUUUGAAGCAGAAGAGGCUAUUUAUAUUGGAUUACCAUGAUAUUCUCUUACCAUAUGUGGCCAAAGUAAGGGAGCUUGAAGGCACCACAUUGUAUGGUUCCAGGACAAUGUUCUUCCUCGUCAAUGAUAGCACAUUGAGGCCUGUUGCUAUUGAACUCACUCGCCCACCAAUUGGUGGCCAACCACAAUGGAAACAAGUGUUUACGCCAAGCUUUGAUGCCACUAGCUGUUGGCUUUGGAGGAUGGCAAAAGCACAUGCCUUAGCUCAUGACUCUGGCAUCCACCAACUUGUCUCUCACUGG
rnacentral:misc_RNA from 1 species